rnacentral:rRNA from 1 species
UACAGAGGGGGCAAGCGUUGUUCGGAAUUACUGGGCGUAAAGGGCGCGUAGGCGGCCUGCUAAGUCGAACGUGAAAUCCCUGGGCUCAACCCAGGAACUGCGUCCGAUACUGGUUGGCUUGAAUCCGGGAGAGGGAUGUGGAAUUCCAGGUGUAGCGGUGAAAUGCGCAGAUAUCAGGAAGAACACCAAUGGCGAAGGCAGCUCUCUGGGACGGUACUGACACUGAGACGCGAAAGCGUGGGGAGCGAACAGG